UAGGGGGCGGGAGAAGCCGACGGUAUUUCCGGAGUAGGGGUAAAAUCCUAUAAUCCCGGGAGGACCACCAGUGGCGAAGGCGGUCGGCUAGAACGCGCUCGACGGUGAGGGACGAAAGCUGGGGGAGCGAACCGGAUUAGAUACCCGGGUAGUCCCAGCUGUAAACGGUGCGGGCUAGGUGUUGGAGCGGCUACGAGCCGCUUCAGUGCCGCAGGGAAUCUAUUAAGCCCGCCGCCUGGGGAGUACGGCCGCAAGGCUGAAACUUAAAGGAAUUGGCGGGGGAGCACCACAAGGGGUGAAGCUUGCGGUUUAAUUGGAGUCAACGCCGGGAACCUUACCGGGGGCGACAGCAGUGUGAAAGCCAGAUUGAAGGUCUUGCUAGACGAGCUGAGAGGAGGUGCAUGGCCGUCGCCAGUUCGUGCCGUGAGGUGUCCUGUUAAGUCAGGCAACGAUCGAGACCCACACCCUCUGUUGCUUCCGAGGAGCUUUCCAAGGGGCACUCUGAGGGGACUGCCACCGAUAAGGUGGAGGAAGGAGUGGGCCACGGCAGGUCAGUAUGCCCCGAAUCCCCCGGGCCACACGCGAGCUGCAAUGGCUGGGACAAU
rnacentral:rRNA from 1 species